UUUUAUAUAGUUUAAAUAAAACAUUAUACUUUCAUUAUAAAAUAAGACUACCUCUUGUAAAAU
rnacentral:tRNA from 1 species